GACGAACGCUGGCGGCGUGCUUAACACAUGCAAGUCGAACGAAGUGGCGAACGGGUGAGUAACGCGUAAUCAACCUGCCCUUCAGAGGGGGACAACAGUGGGAAACGACUGCUAAUACCGCCUACUGACGGCGGGGAUUGCGGCGGAUGAGCUAGUUGGGGGGGUAACGGCCCACCAAGGCGAUGAUCAGUAGCCGGUCUGAGAGGAGGAACGGCCACAUUGGGACUGAGACACGGCCCAGACUCCUACGGGAGGCAGCAGUUGGGAAUCUUCCGCAAUGGACGAAAGUCUGACGGAGCAACGCCGCGUGAGUGAUGACGGCCUUCGGGUUGUAAAGCUCUGUUAAUCGGGACGCGGUACCGGAAUAGAAAGCCACGGCUAACUACGUGCCAGCAGCCGCGGUAAUAC
rnacentral:rRNA from 1 species